AAGGACUGGUUACCUGUGGGAGUGACCAUAUGAAGCUGAAAAUCUUCUGGGCUAAGCACUACUGGUGAAGUCGCACAUAGAUACAGAAAAGCCCAUGCUUCGGAUGACUGCCACAAUGAGAGGAAGGAACACUUCUGAGAGAAGCCAUCACUUGCAGGAAAAGAGAACAUCUUUUGUCAAGACUUAAAGAAGAAUUUUGGGGCUAACAGGACUUAAAGAUGGAAUAGGGAACUGAAUAAGCUUUAUUAUCUGCUUUUGUCAUAAAUCUACAGUCAUGUACCACAUUCCAGAUGUCACCUGACCUGUUUUUUUAACAUUUGUUUUCUUUUUUCUACUUAAUUAUGUAAUUGUGUUUUGAAUAAUGAAUGUAAGAGGGGUUGGGUUGGUUAUGUUUUAUGAUGUGUUUUUAUAAUGUUUUAUAAUAUGUUUUAUUAUCUAGUUUACUAUAAGUAAACCAUAUAAUAUAAGUUUUAUUAAAUUUCAUAAUAUGUUUUUUGUUAGUUAAACCCAAAUUUCUUUGCUUCCUUCAUGUUCCAAAUGCAGCACUGAUUUGGAAAAAACACAGGCACUCACUUUCUUCCCUUUGGAAAGAACCCAGCCCCUUGCUCAGUAGGUGGGAGUAUGAAGGUCGAUCAUUCUUCCUCCAACCUGUGGGAUUUUAUAAUUUCUUCCUAAGAAUUCUGAAACAUAAGCUUGAAACUGCAAACCCUUCAA